CGCGCCGGCCGCGGCUUGGAGCGCGCAGGUGGCGGCAGCUCUGCCGGGCGACCGGCGCGCCCCGGCUCCGGCACUCUUCCCGGGUCGUUCCCCCAGCCCUGGGAGGCCUCUGGUCUGGGGUCUGGGAUUGGGGCGUUGGUGGGUGUCCCAGCGUGUCCCGCUCCCCUCCCUCUCCUGCGCAGAGGCCACGAGGAAGCCGCUGCCUGCGUCCCGAGCCGCUGGGAGGCCCAAGAGGCGGGAAGCCUGCCUUGACUCCAGCCCUGAAACCCCAGGUGCGGGGACCCGGGCCUCGGUAAGGUGCCCCUCCCUCGGAAGCCCAUGGGAACCAGCAGGUGGAAGGCCAGGAGGCUACCACAUUCAGACCUUUCCCCACCUGGGCCUCAGUUUCCCAUCUAGCCCCGAGAGCAGACACAAGCCACCAGGGGCCCAGAAGUCGACACAAAGAGGCGCCGCUGCAGCCGGACCAUCUUGAUGGCGUCCAGGCGGAUCUCCACGACAUUGCUGAAGAAGGCGAGCAGCGGGGCGAGCGGGAAGGCGGCCACGAAGAUGGUGGUGAAGCCGUACUGGAUCACUG